rnacentral:rRNA from 1 species
GACGAACGCUGGCGGCGUGCCUAAUACAUGCAAGUAGAACGCUGAAGAGAGGAGCUUGCUCUUCUUGGAUGAGUUGCGAACGGGUGAGUAACGCGUGGGUAACCUGCCUUGUAGCGGGGGAUAACUAUUGGAAACGAUAGCUAAUACCGCAUAACAAUGGAUGACACAUGUCAUUUAUUUGAAAGGGGCAAUUGCUCCACUACAAGAUGGACCUGCGUUGUAUUAGCUAGUAGGUGAGGUAAUGGCUCACCUAGGCGACGAUACAUAGCCGACCUGAGAGGGUGAUCGGCCACACUGGGACUGAGACACGGCCCAGACUCCUACGGGAGGCAGCAGUAGGGAAUCUUCGGCAAUGGGGGCAACCCUGACCGAGCAACGCCGCGUGAGUGAAGAAGAUUUUCGGAUCGUAAAGCUCUGUUGUAAGUCAAGAACGGGUGUGAGAGUGGAAAGUUCACACUGUGACGGUAGCUUACCAGAAAGGGACGGCUAACUACGUG